UACGUAGGGUGCAAGCGUUGUCCGGAAUUACUGGGCGUAAAGCGCACGUAGGCGGCUUUGCAAGUCAGAGGUGAAAGCCCGGGGCUCAACCCCGGAAUUGCCUUUGAGACUGCAUCGCUAGAAUUGUGGAGAGGUAAGUGGAAUUCCGAGUGUAGAGGUGAAAUUCGUAGAUAUUCGGAAGAGCACCAGUGGCGAAGGCGACUUACUGGACACAUAUUGACGCUGAGGUGCGAAAGCGUGGGGAGCAAACAGG
rnacentral:rRNA from 1 species